CUCCAGCGGAAGCGCAGGGCUCUCUGCCGAGGAAGAGGGGAGAGCUGGGGCCAGGCGGCAGCCAGGGGGAUGCUGGCACGCUUCUACAAAGUGAACUUGGCUGUCACCGGUGCUGGUUAUCUAGCACAUUCACCUCCCCUGGAGCGAGAACAGGACACUCUCAGGCUGAGACGGCAGCACCGCAGCAUGUCCGUGGCACAGAGUGGCACUGCUCUUUCGAAGGUCCCACAUAACAUCCAUUCAGAAACGAGAGAAGUGAGGUCCAGAAGCGAGUGAUUUGCCACAGCCGCUUGUCCAGCUGGUGGCAGAGGCAAGAUCCUAAAGUCUCCAACACGAAAGAAGAGACAUUCAGUCAAGUUCACACCAACUUUGGGCCUCACUCCCCAGUCUUCCAGAUGGACCAAUAUCAUCGCCGCCCAAGGAAUGAAGAUGAGAAUUCCACACCUGCCACGCUGGGGGAUCUCAUCUCCAUA